CCCUGCGAGUGUCACGAGGCCUCUGCCCGAACGGACCCUGACGCACUUCCCCAGCGCCAGGUUCCCUCGGACAGGGACCUCGGGACAUUCGCCCCGUCAC
rfam:Rhodococcus triatomae strain DSM 44892 genome assembly, contig: Ga0116918_102